UCAGGAUGAAACGCUAGCGGCAGGCCUAAUACAUGCAAGUCGAACGAUAGAAGAAUGCUUGCAUUCUUCGAAAGUGGCGCACGGGUGCGUAACGCGUAUGCAACCUACCUUAAUCAGGGGGAUAGCCCGAAGAAAUUCGGAUUAACACCGCAUAAAAUCACAGUACAGCAUUGUACAAUGAUCAAAUAUUUAUAGGAUUAAGAUGGGCAUGCGUGACAUUAGUUAGUUGGCGGGGUAACGGCCCACCAAGACCACGAUGUCUAGGGGAUCUGAGAGGAUGACCCCCCACACUGGUACUGAGACACGGACCAGACUCCUACGGGAGGCAGCAGUAAGGAAUAUUGGUCAAUGGAGGCAACUCUGAACCAGCCAUGCCGCGUGCAGGAAGACAGCCCUCUGGGUCGUAAACUGCUUUUUAUUCGGGAAUAAACCUCAUUACGUGUAUUGAGCUGAAUGUACCGAAGGAAUAAGGAUCGGCUAACUCCGUG
rnacentral:rRNA from 1 species